rnacentral:rRNA from 1 species
UGGGGAAUAUUGCACAAUGGACGAAAGUCUGAUGCAGCGACGCCGCGUGAGGGAAGAAGGUUUUCGGAUUGUAAACCUCUGUCCCAUGGGAAGAAACAAUGACGGUACCAUGGGAGGAAGCCACGGCUAACUACGUGCCAGCAGCCGCGGUAAAACGUAGGUGGCAAGCGUUGUCCGGAAUUACUGGGUGUAAAGGGAGCGCAGGUGGGAUGUCAAGUCGAAUGUGAAAUCUACGGGCUCAACCCGUAAAUUGCGUUCGAUACUGAUGUUCUUGAGUGGAGUAGAGGCAAGCGGAAUUCCCGGUGUAGCGGUGGAAUGCGUAGAUAUCGGGAGGAACACCAGUGGCGAAGGCGGCUUGCUGGGCUCUAACUGACACUGAGGCUCGAAAGCGUGGGGAGCAAACA